CAGUAGCCGCGGGAAAACGUAGGUGGCAAGCGUUGUCCGGAAUUAUUGGGCGUAAAGGGCUCGCAGGCGGUUUCUUAGGUCUGAUGUGAAGGCCCCCGGCUCAACCGGGGAGGGUCAUUGGAAACUGGGAAACUUGAGUGCAGAAGAGGAGAGUGGAAUUCCACGUGUAGCGGUGAAAUGCGUAGAGAUGUGGAGGAACACCAGUGGCGAAGGCGACUCUCUGGUCUGUAACUGACGCUGAGGAGCGAAAGCGUGGGGAGCAAACAGGAUUAGAUACCCCCGUAGUCCCUGUCUCUUAUAC
rnacentral:rRNA from 1 species